rnacentral:rRNA from 1 species
UACGUAGGGUCCGAGCGUUGUCCGGAGUUACUGGGCGUAAAGCGCGCGCAGGCGGCUUCAUAAGUCUGGCGUGAAAGCCCCCGGCUCAACCGGGGAGGGUCGUCGGAGACUGUGGAGCUUGGGGGCGGUAGGGGCUGGUGGAAUUCCCGGUGUAGUGGUGAAAUGCGUAGAGAUCGGGAGGAACACCUGUGGCGAAGGCGGCCAGCUGGGCCGACCCUGACGCUGAGGCGCGAAGGCGUGGGGAGCGAACGGG